GGAGUUUGGUCCGUGUCUCAGUACCAAUGUGGGGGACCUUCCUCUCAGAACCCCUACUGAUCGUUGCCCCGGUGGGCCGUUACCCCGCCGGCAAGCUAAUCAGACGCAUCCCCAUCCCUUACCGAUGAAUCUUUGCUCCUCAUCUGAUGCCAUCAAAGGAGAACAUAGAGUAUUAAUCCGACUUUCGCCGGGCUAUUCUCUACUAUGGGGAAGGUUGGAUACGCGUUACUCACCCGUGCGCCGGUCGCCAUCAUCGGUUGCAAGCAACCGACAUGCUGCCCCUCGACUUGCAUGUGUUAAGCCUGUAGCUAGCGUUCAUC
rnacentral:rRNA from 1 species